ensembl:lncRNA
UUUUUUUUUUUUUUUUUUUUUUUUUUUUUUUGUCUUUUUGCCUUUUCUAAGGCUGCUCCCAGGGCAUAUGGAGUUCCCAGGAUAGGGGUCUAAUUGGAUCUGUAGCCACCCGCCUACACUAGAGCCACAGCAACUCGGGAUUGUUAACCCACUGAGCAAGGCCAGGGAUCGAACCCUCAACCUCAUGGUUCCUAGUCAGAUUUGUUAACCACUGCGCCACGAUGGGAACUCCUCAAGUUCUUUCAAACAGAAGUAAACAAGAACUACAUUUUCCACCUCUAAGGUAGCACUGAUUUACCAGGACUCACUGGAUUGAAUUCCAACUCUGAUUUACACUUUCUAUCAUUUAAUCCUCACAAUAAUUCUAGAAAGCGGCUAUCAUCAGCUUCAUUUUACAAGAGAAUAAAUUGAGGCUUAAGGGUAAGAAACUUGCCCAGGGUCAUAUAUGUUAUAAGACUGACCCCAUAUCCAAGAGGUCAUAAAAAUAUAAUUCUAGGGAGUUCCUGUCGUGGCUCAUCAGUUAAUGAACCCAACUAGCAUCCAUGAGAAUUCGGGUUCAAUCUCUGGCCUCGCUCAGUAGGUUAAGGAUCCAGCAUUGGCAUGAACUGUGGUGUAGGUCGCAGACGUGGCUCGGAUCCCACGUUGCCAUGACUCUGGUGUAGGCCAGCAACUGUAGCUCCAAUGUGACCCCUAGCCUGAGAACCUUCAUAUGCCUAGGGUGUGGCCCUAAAAGGACAAAAAUAAAAUAAAAAAUAAAUAAACAAUAAAAAAAUAAAAAUCUAGUUCUAACUGGAGUUCCCUCGGGGGUUAAGGAUUCCACAUUGUCACUGCAGCAGCUAGGGUUGCUACUGUGGCUUGGGUUCAAUCCCUGGCCCAGGAACUUUCACAUACUGCAGGCACAGCCAAAAAAAAAAAAAAAAAUCUAUUUCUAAUUUACUGCAGUUUAUAAAGAAAAGUCUAUAUUUUGAAGAUUAGUGUAGUUUUAUAAAUUGAUAUCACUGAAAAUUCAGUAUACGAUUAUUUCCAUUCAGUAACUGCAACAAUAAGCUUUCACUGAUUAUUAUAUACUAAGAAUGUUGUUCUAUAUAAUGUAAAUACACACAAGUAAAAUCAAUGAUCGUGUAAAACUCUGAAAAUGAGUAACUGAAAAUGAAAAAACCUCCAAAAAUGUAACAAGUAUACAUUUUCACAAAGAAUAGCUAAUUUAUUAGCUAUUUACAGGGAAUAACUAAUUUAUUAGCUAAAUACAGGUAACAGAUUCAUUUAUUAGCUAAAAAUGAAAUGAAAAAUGUGUGUAACAGUUAAGAUCAAAAUUGUUUUCAAUCAAAAAUUUCAAAAAAUUCCAAAAGUAAACUCAAUCUUGAAAAAAAGUAAAACUAUGAAGUGUUAAGUUACACAGAAAUUCCAAUGCCUGGUUUUGGUUUUUGUUUUCCCCGAAAGGAGGAAUGUAACUGAAGAUUUAUUUUUUUUUUUUUUAUUAUUUAUUUAUUUAUGUAUUGUCUUUUGGCCGCUUCCCUUGGCAUGUGGAGGGUGUGGCCCUAAAAAGACCAAAAAAAAAAAAAAAAAAAAGGCAAUUAACAACCGAAAAACACACCAUCCCUUUAGGAAAAGUCAAGCUGAUCUGCAGCUGCAGCAUACAUCACAGCCACAACAUCAGAUCCUUAACCCACUGAAUGAGGCCAGGGAUCAAAACGGCAUCCUCACAGACACUAUGUUGAGUCCUUAACAAGCUGAGCCACAAGAACUCCAAGAACAGGAGAAUUUAAGUUAAAAUCCAAGCAGUUAUCUUUUAAACAAGUUUUGUGCCCUGCAACUAGUCUGUGACUAGCACAGAACAAGGGCCAAAUAAAAGUUUACUGAAUGGAAUGAAAAGAGGUAGCUUAGUAACAGAGGAAGAAACAGGAUCAUCUCCACUCAAAGCCUUUCUAAAGGAGUUAAUAUAAAACUAUCUCUUACCAGGCAACAUACACAAUUUUCUUUGUAAAGAAUAAAACACUGCAUCAGGAGUUGGAAAAAAAAAAAAAGAAUGAUCAUAUAUAAAAAUUACUAAUAAAGAGCAAGCUACUGGAUUAAACAGUUUA